rnacentral:lncRNA from 1 species
GUUAAACUGCACUGCAGAAAUGGGGAAGAAAAUUAUCCUUUUUUUUUUUUUUUUUUUCCAGUCUUUGAUAAGCAAACCCACAGCCAUCUUUUGUUAUGGUGUGAAAUCCCUUCUGUCAUGCUGAGAGCAGAGUGGUGCAAGCAGUUGUGGGCUGCCACAUCCGUCACUGACUCCAUGGGAGCUGAAUUUGAAUUUUGAGGUAUGUUUUGACUGGCAAAUCAUUUAGGUAACACAGCGAAUAGCAUUUCCAGCACACAGGAAAAAUUCUUGAAUCAUCACCUCGUGCCACUGAGCCCACACAACCAUGUCCCCUGAAGGGACAGGCUUUGAAUUUGAGUUUGUACCUUAUUAACUAAUGGCAUUGAUGCCAGGGUUGUGACUUCAUUUGCAUAAGGCUUGUGUGCUCAGGAACACCUCAUCAAACUUUUCCUUGUAACCCUCCUACCUCAGCAGCAUUGCAUCUUGCUGCACACGAGGAGGCCAGGGGAGACCUGGUGGGUGCGUGGCUCCCAGAGUGAGAGAUGAUGGAAAAGAUCCCUUCCUCCUGCCUCUGCUGACUUCUUUCCUCUUGCUGCAACAUCCUCAAACCCCAGGGUUAUCGAGCAAGAGGAACUCUGUUCUCCAAGCCCAGGAACAAUGCAGGAAUAGCCCUGGGAAAUGACCCACCUUGUUGGGCUUGUGUUCGUGGGUGGCAGAGGCAGAAGCAAGUCAAGGAAAAAGAAAAUGUCCUGGGGAAAUGCCUUGCAGAAACAUCUGCUCAGGAACGUGAGAUGACUCAUUUCAGGUAUGGAAAGCAGAAAUCGAUUUCUAUACUAUCAUGAUGAGGAAAGCAGUGCUGUAACAGCUGAGCUCAUCUGUGACCAGAGAGGUGCAGAGACAUACGUACACCUCUGUUGGUAAAUGCUUUCAUACACAUCUGUACACACGUGGUCCCAUUCAGAAGGUGGCAAAGUGCUCCCAUGGCUGCAGUAAGAAGCAUGGGGUUGUGUCCCAAGCACUAGGGCACAGCCUUCAAAGGGAAGAUUUCGCCUUCCAAGGGAAAAAGUCUUUCUUAAACAAAUGUUUAUUUUGAAAGUAUUAGCUG